GCGACAGGCUUAACACAUGCAAGUCGAGGGGCAGCGGGGGUAGCGAUACCCGCCGGCGACCGGCGCACGGGUGAGUAACGCGUAUGCAACUUGCCUAUCAGAGGGGGAUAACCCGGCGAAAGUCGGACUAAUACCGCAUGAAGCAGGGGCCCCGCAUGGGGAUAUUUGCUAAAGAUUCAUCGCUGAUAGAUAGGCAUGCGUUCCAUUAGGCAGUUGGCGGGGUAACGGCCCACCAAACCGACGAUGGAUAGGGGUUCUGAGAGGAAGGUCCCCCACAUUGGUACUGAGACACGGACCAAACUCCUACGGGAGGCAGCAGUGAGGAAUAUUGGUCAAUGGCCGAGAGGCUGAACCAGCCAAGUCGCGUGAGGGAUGAAGGUUCUAUGGAUCGUAAACCUCUUUUAUAAGGGAAUAAAGUGCGGGACGUGUCCCGUUUUGUAUGUACCUUAUGAAUAAGGAUCGGCUAACUCCGUGCCAGCAGCCGCGGUAAUACGGAGGAUCCGAGCGUUAUCCGGAUUUAUUGGGUUUAAAGGGUGCGUAGGCGGCCUUUUAAGUCAGCGGUGAAAGUCUGUGGCUCAACCAUAGAAUUGCCGUUGAAACUGGGGGGCUUGAGUAUGUUUGAGGCAGGCGGAAUGCGUGGUGUAGCGGUGAAAUGCAUAGAUAUCACGCAGAACCCCGAUUGCGAAGGCAGCCUGCCAAGCCAUUACUGACGCUGAUGCACGAAAGCGUGGGGAUCAAACAGGAUUAGAUACCCUGGUAGUCCACGCAGUAAACGAUGAUCACUAGCUGUUUGCGAUACACUGUAAGCGGCACAGCGAAAGCGUUAAGUGAUCCACCUGGGGAGUACGCCGGCAACGGUGAAACUCAAAGGAAUUGACGGGGGCCCGCACAAGCGGAGGAACAUGUGGUUUAAUUCGAUGAUACGCGAGGGACCUUACCCGGGUUUGAACGCAUUCGGACCGAGGUGGAAACACCUUUUCUAGCAAUAGCCGUUUGCGAGGUGCUGCAUGGUUGUCGUCAGCUCGUGCCGUGAGGUGUCGGCUUAAGUGCCAUAACGAGCGCAACCCUUGCCACUAGUUACUAACAGGUAAAGCUGAGGACUCUGGUGGGACUGCCAGCGUAAGCUGCGAGGAAGGCGGGGAUGACGUCAAAUCAGCACGGCCCUUACAUCCGGGGCGACACACGUGUUACAAUGGCGUGGACAAAGGGAGGCCACCUGGCGACAGGGAGCGAAUCCCCAAACCACGUCUCAGUUCGGAUCGGAGGCUGCAACCCGACUCCGUGAAGCUGGAUUCGCUAGUAAUCGCGCAUCAGCCAUGGCGCGGUGAAUACGUUCCCGGGCCUUGUACACACCGCCCGUCAAGCCAUGAAAGCCGGGGGUACCUGAAGUACGUAAACGCAAGGAGUGUCCUAGGGUAAAACUGGUAAUUGG
rnacentral:rRNA from 1 species